UUUAUCACCAGAGAAACUAAGUUUUAUAUAAUGGUACAUAUCACAUUUCUGUUUUUUCUAGCACUUUUUGUGAAGACUGAGGCCUGAUCAUGCUGAUUUAGUAUUAAAAGAAAAAUCUGAGAGGCACCCAUAGGCUGCAUAACACUAUGUAACAAAGAGAAGAGUGAAGACUGUGGAUACAACAAGACUUGGUGAGCUAUACCACCAAACAGUAUGGACACAGACUAACACUGAAGAUAGUGAGGAAAAAAAGAUGGUUACUGCAUCAGUUAACCUGUAGACAACUUGUCCCCAGCUGGACUGUGGGAUUUGUAAAAUGCUCAAGUUUUAAGUUAUACCUUUUUAUCCUCUGGAUCAGUUGCCCUUUCUCUCCAAAGCACACACAGUCUUCAAACCUCCCUGAACACGUAAAAAUAUCUUUCUCUCAAGCUGGGUCCACACUGAUCCAUAUUUAGCCAGGACUGACCUUUGUGAGCACAAUUCCCACUAGAGACUCGCUUUGUGCUAUGCCUCAGUCUUCUCAAUUUGGAUAGAGUCAAAACUCCAUGGGUUUUAGGUAAAAACACACAAGAGCAGUAUUAAAGUUCAAAUUCCACACACACACACAAAUCUUGCUUAAAAAUUUAAAUCUUUAUUUUAAAAUGUUGCUUGCAAAACAAUGCAGCAGAAACAUCAUCAGAUAUUUGUAGAUAUCACAAACAAUGCAUAAUAAAGAGAUUUCUCAGAAAGAGACUAUACCACCUGAAGGGGGAAAAAAAAAUCUGUCCAAAACCAAGAGCACUCAAUUAAAUAAAACACUUUUUAGGAUUAAAUAAUGAUUAAAAAUAAGAAGAUAGGUUUUAAAACCACAUUUAAAAAAUUCAGCUAAAUGAGCAAAGCUACAGAGUAUUGAGCAUACAAAACAUAGUAAUAUUUUGUGAUUUUUUUAAAAAAUAUGAAUGUAUUUGUACUGCAAUCAACCUCUGCUGCAGGGAAGUCAGGGAAUUAUUAGUCUAGGGUCACUUGAAUAGCUAGGACAUGAAAACUUCCUCUUUCCCUUUAGUUCAUAGGCCCUUUGCAUUUCUAGGCUGACUCUGACCAAGCCUUCAGCAGGCCCUUCCUGCUGCUGACAACUAAAUGGAGAAAAUAAAUAAAACUUGGGGAUAGGAAAUAUGUAAGGAAAAACACAUGUGGGCAAAUACAGUCACAUAUUACAGAUGCUGCACAAACCAGAGAAUCAAAGCACAUGCUCCAUGGAAAAGCUAGUGGGAACAGGAUGAUACUUUGCACCUACAAUUCUUUUUCUCUUGCCCAUGACUUCCUACAAACUAGAAACAUCCUUCAUUAACAUAAAAUGCUUCCCUAUCUUGCUGAUUAGAUUUCCAUCUACAAAAACUAACUGGAAUGCUUCUCAAGGCAAAAUGGAUCUCCUCCAUUAGAACAGACAACCACAACAACAUCUGGGUAUUGUUUUUGGUAUCCUUCUCAUAGGUUCUGUGUUUUCUUCAUUUAGAGACACACAUGGUCCAUAAUAUCCAAGACAGAGAUUUCUGGUUUUAAUUAUUUGUGCUUAAGAAAAGAAUGAAUGUGAAACAUGGUUAUUGCCAGUUUAUUAGUCAAAGCCCCUCCAAUUAAAUCUCUAUGAUAAAACUAACAUUAUCCUCAAAUUUUCCUUGGAGAAAGCCCCUUAGAAAGAAAUCAUGCUUCCAAGACAUAAAUGGAUUCUAUCCAGUCUGCUUCAGCUCUGACAUUUCACACUCAGGAAUCUCCCCAUUGUCACAUGACUUGGAUCCAAUAUCCAUUCUUAAAAUGCUACAUGUAUCUUUCUUAUUUUACUUCUGAGCGAGGCCAUGUAUAUACUUAUAUAGAAGCUGUAUGGUGUAGUAAGACAUUUUGGCAAUUUUGACAGCCAUGUCCUGGGAAAAUUCUUUUUAUUUUAUUUUUCCCCUGAUGAAAAGUAACUAAUUAUUUAUUUAGUUUUGCUCACCUACAUUCCAUUAAUAUUAAAGGCAGAAUUAGUUGUAACUGUCUUGGGAAAAUUCUUUGAGCCCCAUCCAGUUUGUUCAAAUUUUCACAGGGUCAUCAACAACUCAAGAAAACUUGGCAUUCCUAGUUUACAGUAUGCUAAACACUAGAGCAAGUCUAAGACAAAAAUGGCCUUUCUUCUGAAGUCAUGUCCAGUGUCAUAUAACUCUGUGGUCAUAAAACUCAGUUUUGUAUAACUCAGUGUGAACUGGUGGGAAAUUUAGGAAACCAUCUGCAAAUUUACAAUAAUGCCUCCUUUACAUGUAUGUUAAGAAUGAAAAGAAAUAGCCCUAAACCAGCCAUUAGAGAACACAGUUAUAGAGGUUAUUCAAACAAUUUAAAAUAGAACUCCUAUGUGAUCUAGCAAUGCUGCCACUGGAUUUAAACCCAAAUAAAGUGAAAUCAGUUUGUCAAAGAGAUAUCUGUACUCUCCUGUUCAUUGCAGUAUUUGAUUCACAGUUGCCAAGAAAUGCAAAGUACCUAAGUGUCCAUCACAUAAUGAACAGAAACCAGGCAUGGUGGUGCAUGUCUGCAGUCCCAAAAUCUUGGGAGGCUGAAGCAGGACGAUCACAAGUUCAAAGCCAGCCUCAGCAUCUUAGGGAGAUCCUGUCUCAAAAUGAAAAAUAAAAAAGGCUGGAGAUGUGGCUCAGUGGUUAAGUGCCCUUGGGUUCAACUGGAAGGAAGGAAGGAAGGAAGGAAGGAAGGAAGGAAGGAAGGAAGGAUGGAGGGAGGGAGGGAGAGAGAGGGAAGGAAGGAAGGGUAGAAGGAAGGAAGGAAAAUGAACGGAUUAAAGAAAAUGUGGUACAUACACAUGACAGAAUACUAUUCAGCAAUAAAAAGAAUGAAAUCCAAUCAUUUGCAGCAAUAUAGAUAGAAUUAGAGAGUAUUAGGUUAAGUGAAGUAAGCCAGGCACAUAAAGAUAAGUACUGCAUGAUCUCAUUCAUGGCAUCUAAAAAAGUUAAUCUCCUAGAUGUUGAGAAUAGAAUGGUGGUUACCAGGGACCGAGGAGAGUAGGGGCAGGGAGGAAUGGGAAAAGGAUGAUCCAUGGAUGCUAAGUUAUACAUAGGAACAAGAAGUUCUGAUGUAUUACUAUACAGUAUGGUGACUAUAGAUAAAAAAUAAAGUUCUGUGUAUUUCAGAAAGUUAGAAGAAAGGGUUUUGAAAGUCUUCACCAUGAAGAAAUGAUGAAUGUUUGAGGAGAUAAGUAUGUUUAACUUGAUUUACACAUCUGCAGUGUAUACACGUAUGGAACAUUACAUGGUACCCUAUUAAAAUGUACAAUUUUAGUGUUUUUUAUGUAUCAAUUAAAAAAAAUAAAAAUUAAAUAAUUAAAGAAGAAUUAGCCCCCACAAAGCAUUAAAUAUGUAUAGCUUCUUUUUUAAAGAAGUAAGAUAGGAAUUUUCAUGCCAACAUUGUAUUGGGCUGCCAAAGGUCAGAUUGGGUGGGGUGGGAAUUGGCUAAGGGACUAAGAGAGAAAAUUCAAGAUUUUUAAGCUAAAUGUUAAAAAGAACAAACAAAAUAGUCUUUAGUCAGAUUUCUUGGAGCUUUCCUGAUACAAGCAUAAAAUGCAACAAUUCAAGUUUUGUUUAACUUAUAUCAAGGAAACAUUCAGAAUGUAUACCAAUUUCAGUAAGAAGCAAAAUGAUGAACAGAACAGGUUCCUGCCAUCUGUGGGGCUCACAAAUGCCAAAUUAUUAAUGAGCCAGGGGAUCAUUACAAGCUAGUUGAUCAAUAUAUGAAUGUGAAAUAAUACUUAUUAAAAAAUGUCUCCCCACAUUAAAAGAGGCAUAUUGCUAAAAUUCCUUUUUAGAAUUUUUCAGAAAAAUUGAGAAACAGAAAUAACUAACCAGGAACCAAGUAAUAGAUACUCCCUAUUCAAAGUUCUUGCAACAAGAGUAUUUUAUUUAUAGUAAGUUCAGAUUAUAAAAUCCUUAGUAGCUAACCCUCCUUUUUCCCAUAUGACUCAGGAUAAAUUUGUGUUAUAUUUAUUGGUGCAAAAAUCUGAUAUAAUGGCAAGAGGGAGUAUUUUAAAAUCUGUUAGAUUCUGUGCUUAUGGACUAAUUCAGUUAUUUUUUAUGUGCCUUGUUUGUAAUUUUUUUAAAGAUCAUGUACCCAAUCAAGCUGACUUACUUGUAAGUUAUUCAUACAGAUAAGAUGCCAGGGUAUUAAAUUAGGGUGAGGCUUAUUUCUUACAAUUGUGAAUGCAAAUGCAUAUUUGUAAUCUUGCAUAUUUUGUCAGUUUCCUUUCAGAAUGAUAAAAGUGCCCCCCUGCCCAAACUUUGCUAUAUAGCUUAUAAGAAUGUAUAGCCAGGUCAGAGAACAGCCAAUUCUGUCAUAUUCUUCUUCUUAAAAAAAAAAAAAUUUUUUUUAGUUGUAGAUGGACACAAUACCUUUAUUUGUUUAUUUUUAUGUGGUGCUGGGGAUUGAACCUAGCCUCACGAAUGCUAGGCAAGCGCUCUACCAUUGACCCCCUUUCGUAUUCUUGAUCAUGCAUUUCCAGUUACUAAAAUAAUUCCAACCUAUAGUUCUUUGAUGGAAUCUUAAAGCUUAGAUGUCAAAGGUUUUAUGAACUAUUCACAUCUCUUCACCUUGCUAACACAGACUUAAAAAAUAACAUAAGAUGUGAUAAUAAAAUGCACUAUCAUCUCAGUUCCAGUGAGUGACUGUCAUUGACUGUAUGCUUCCUACCACAUCAGGCACAGUAUCUGAAUACACAAUGAAACCAUCAGAACAUCUUGUCUGAAUAGACAGAAAAAUAUCAUAAAACAUGAAAAAUAUUUUUUCAAAAAAGGAAAUGUUAAACAUUUGUACUCUGCUACUAAAGAUAAUUUGGAGAUGUCUAAGAAAAAAAUGAUUACUAACAAGAGAAUGUCCAGUCAACCAGAUGGAACACUAGGUUCUAUAGUUGAAUUGCUAUUAUAAGUUCCUGAAUCUAGCAAGGAGAAUGCUAUAAGAACUUCAUCUAAACUUGUAGUAGGCCUGCAUGUCCAGGCUGGGAUAAAACUGGAACUAACAAAGCUGCUGGCUACCUGUCAGACCCAAGUACCCAUGAAGCGCUACUGAUAACUUUUCCAUGUAGAGUCUAUCUCUGAAUAUUCAUUGAAUAGUCUAUAAUUAUUUAAAAUGUUUUUAAUUCCUUAAAAGAACAAAGUAAAAGCUCACACUAUAGAAAAUUUAGCUAAAAAGAGAAGAAUGAAAAAGAAUAGCUAUCAACAUAAGAAACAGAACAUAUAGGGAAGAAACAAGAUUGUAUGAUGCAUAAGAAUAUAUUUUAUGAUAAAGGAAACAUUUAAGAAAAGCCUACUGCCCUCUAUGCACUGAGAGCAGCCCCUACAGGGGCCUGUGGUCAUGGAUAUACACAUUCCAGUAAGCAAUGGGUAUGUGUGGGAAAGGGAGGGCUAAUAUCAAAGUAGAGAAAUACUGAUGAGGAACUCUGCAUUUUGUUGCUGAUUUUCAUUUUGUAGGUAACAGUGACUAAAUUUUUUACUGGGGUAUUUCAGAAUUUAAAAGUGUGUCCUGACUGGAUAUGGUGGUGCAUGCUUGUAAUCUCAGGGACUUGGGAGGCUGAUGUAGGAGGAUCACAGGUUUGAGGCCAGUCUUAAUAACUUAUGUGAGGUCCUAGACAACUUAGCAAGACCCUGUCUCAAAAUGCCCCUGGGUGUGCAAUCUUCUCUUGAAAAAAAAAAAAAAGUGUAUCAUGUGUGCAACAUCAAGAUUUAUUAAAUGAAAUACCACUUCAUGUUGAUGUAUUACAAUAACAAUUAUUAAAAACAUGAAAAAUAACAAGUGUUUGUGAGAAUUUAGAGAAACUUAAACUCUCUUACAUCGCUGGUGGAAAUGUAAGCUGUAACUACGCUGCUGGGGAUAUAGUUCAGUAGGAGAGCACUUGCCUACCAUAUACAAGUCCAUGGAUUUGAUACCCAGCAAUACAGAUGUUUUUUUUUUGUGUGUGUGUGUGUAUGUGGUGAGGAGGUAAAGAUAUGGCUUCUAUGAAAAACAAUAUGGUUGUUCUUUAAGAAGUUCAACAGAAUCACCAUUUAAUCUAGCAAUUCCACUCCCAUAUAUACAUACAUACAUAUAACUGAAAGCCGGGACUAAAUAGCUACUUGUACACCUAUGUACAUAGCAACAUUAUUCACAAUAGCCAGAGUUGGAAAUAAAUCAAAUGCUAAUCUAAUUUUUCACCUUUUAGCAGAGGAAACUGGUAGAUAUAAAAGUUAAGUGACAAGCUUAUUGUCAAGGAGCAAAUGAGAAUUGAAGCUUACAGCUACUGGGUGUCAAAUAUGCAGGUUAAGCUUCUAUAACACUGUGUGCUACCCCUCUCCCUAUGGGGCCUCUGUUCAAAUAACAUGUGCUCUUCUUUUUACCAAUAUUUUAAGAAACAAUUUUUAAAAGAGUGUUCUAUGAUUCUGUUAUUCCUUGUGGUUAACACAUAACCAUUAAAGUUUUUCAGCAGUCUAUGAGAAAGAUAGACCUCAGAAACAGAAGGAUGUGAUGACUUCUUUGAAAGUAGUCAUCACUGCCAGUGAAACUGGCAUGCUGUUUUGGGUGUCUCAAAGCAUGAUAUGAAUAUAAUUUACAGUAUGCUGUUUAUAUUUCCAAUUUUUCCUUUUAAGAAGUUUAUAUCUGUCACAUAUAUGUUUUCCUUAUCUCACUCACUAGAUUGUGUUUUUAUUUUGUGUCUCUCAAACUACUUUCAGUUGGCAGCUUAGAAUCACCUCAAAAGAAACCACUCCCCCUAACUUCAGCAUAGAUUUGAGCACACCCUCCUUAAAUUUUGGGUCAAGCAACUCUAUGUGUAUUUUUGUACUCACAUCCCUCCCUGCCAACAGUGAACAAGGAGCACACCAUCCCUUUCUUUGCAUCCUCAGCACUGGUACAAAAAAUUAUUUAGUAGUGUUUGUGGAGCUGAUGAAUAUGCUGAAUGACAAAGAAAUCUUAAUCAGUAGUUAGGUUCAGACAAUUGAACAAAUAAAUAUAAAACAUACAGGACAGAGCCAGGUAACAAAUCUCUGUUCCACCCCCCUCAAUUCUGGCCAGCUAAUAUAUAAAGUUUUUAGUAAACUGUUAUUCAAUUCAGAGACUUCUUCUUUUUUUAAUUCUUUUUUUAAUAUUUAUUUUUUAGUUGGACACAAUAUCUUUAUUUAUUUUUAUGUGGUGUUGCUGAUCGAACCCAGGGCCUCGCACAUGCUAGGCGAGCGCUCUACUGCUGAGCCACAACCCCAGCCCAAAGACUUCUAAUAAUAAACAUAAAAGUUGCAAUACCAGGAGUUUUUUCUGGACCAACCCCUACAUGUAAGGGUUAAUGUGACUGACAUAUUCUAGAUCCCACUGUUAGUCAAUACUGUAGCCUAAAGAGCCAUGUGGUUCACCUGUGGGGCAAGUGGCAAAAGACAACAGUUAGUGACUCCAGAAAAAAACAACCUGUUUUCCAAAUUCUAAUAAUAGACUAUAGAAAAAUACACUUAGACACACACCUAACCUAAGAACUUUUAGUCAUCUUAAAGGUAUUAGCAAGGAUCCCAUCCCCAAGCAACAGUUACUCCUUCCUCUAAAAAAGAAAAAAGAACAUUAUAUUCACAUAUUUUGCUUGCUUCAGCCAAGAGCUCAAAAAACCCCUUCAAUCCCUACUUUUGCUGGAUUAGUCCACUGUAUACUAUGAGUCAGCACUUCUCCACAUUUCUGGAAAUUCCUUACCAGCAACAUGAUCUAAAACAGGAAGCCAGCUUUCCAUUUUAAUGUACAACAGGAAGUAUUCAAAUAGAUUUCACCUAAACUGGAGAACUCUUGUUAGUAUAACUGCUGUUAUAUCAAAACAAAUGAGAAACUAAUGAAAGGCACUGAUUUUAAAGAUUAUUUUAUUUUAAAAUGUAGAUACACGAUCAGGAUUAGCUAAAUCAGUAUAAUGAAUUUGAACAAAGGUACAUCAGUGGGUAGGAGAAAAAUACAAGUUUACCUUUCCAUUUAUCUGUUGCACACAUUAUAUAGCUCUGGCACCCUCAGAUAUGUUUGUUAUAUUAAGAAUUUGGUAAGUUUUGUUUUGAAUAUCUGGUUUGAACAGUAAUAUAAUGGGAAGUAAUAACAUUGGAAAUGCAAAUAUUUGAGGAAAAAACAGUAACAAAGGCUAAAAUAGAACUUGCCUCUUUUCAAAGAAUGGCUUGAAUUUAUUUGAAUAGCACAAAAUACUAUUCCCCCCCCCCACCCCCCGUACUAGGGAUUAAAUGCAAGACCUCUAAUACUGAGCUACUCCAUAGCCCUUUGUAAUUUUAUUUUAAAAUUAUUUAUUUAUUUUUGAGAUAGGGUCUUGCUAAGUUGCCAAGGCUGGCAUCCAACUUGCUAUCUCCUGCCUCAGCAUCUGAGUAGCUGUCAUGGGCAUGUAACACAGCAAUUGGCAAAAAAUACCCUAAUGGAUCACAGAGAUUUUUUGCUCCAGAAGUUGACUUUUCAGAAGUUUAACAAACCUUAAAACAGUCUCUAGAUUAACUAUAGGGUCACUCAUCAGGGUUCCUGCUUUUAUAUUUAGAAAGCUGCUUUCACAGUUAAAAUUUCCCUACUUCUUAAAGAGAGUUUCAAGAUUUAAGUUCAGUGAAAAGCCAAACAGCUAAGCUAUUACAGUCAUUAAUAAAUGUAUUUAGCGUUUGUGCAGCAUCAAAAUGUAAGACAUCUGGUUCUAAUUUCAAUUUUGGCCGAGAAUAAAAGUACCUCCCCCACAAUACUUUGAUUAUAAACUGUUCUUUUCCUCCUCUUUUUUUUUCUUCUUUGGAAGCUGUUGUCCUUCAUUCUUGCUGGAAGCCACCUGACCACUGCCAGGAAGAGGAAUGCAAAACAUUCCCAGGAGUGGCCCUGACGUCAGGGCCACAUUCCACCUCUCCACAGUCAGGGCUGUCGGGAAGCUCUGGCCUCCAGCAAAACCCCUAGAAGAGAUAGCAGCUGGGCCUGCACUAAAUCAUACUAAGAACUCCUUCAUAUUGUACUUUAAAAAUGGACAGUAUCUUGUGAAUGCAGUGGGAAGGUGGUGGGUGGACGGAUGGAGGGAAGACAAGAGAGAAAGCCAGAGAGGGAGAAAGAAUAGGAACAAAAAGAGCUGGCUUUCUAAGAGACAUUACUGUUAAUCUUCACAACUAUUUUUUGUUUGUUUGUUUUUGUGGGUGGAAAAAAGGGAAAAAUAAGUAAGUAGCAAUCUUCAGAUGUCCAUUUAUCUUAGGCAUCAGAGUGUAGACUGAUUGAGAUGAACAACAGAAGAGUUUGGGCUUCAAUCACCAGGCCUUCCUCUAGUAAACCACCUAGAAGCCCUGUCUCCAAACCCUUCUUGGGAGGAAGACAAAAAUCCCAUUCAGGGAUGCUUUAGAAACACUAAGAAAGCAGUUGGUUCAUUUUUAAUAAUGAGACAUACUGAACAUAGAAAAUUGCACAUAUGGUUGGCAUAUAACAUUUUGUCAAGAUUGUGAUUUAUAUUUCUUAGAUUAAUAAUGAAACUAUUAAGAAUCUUGUUCUAACUAUAUCACAAGGUUAUAAGAUAUUAAAGUACUCAGAUGUUAUUUGACUUCUCUGUUUGGUGGGUGUUGUAACAUGUUACUAGGUAAAGAUACCUGAAGUAUAUAACUGGAAAUUUCAUCACAGUUGUCAAAAUAUGCACCUGUAAAUGGCAUUCUCCUAGGCCCUAAAGGUAACCGAGUUUCUACCUUCUGCAUAGAACAAAUAUCAAAAGGCCUAGAUGCCAAAUCAUUCUGAAAAAAUACAGACUUAGGGAUAUUUAUAAUGUCUCCUGCAUACCCACCUCCUAGCUGUACCCCGUGUGGUCACAGACAGGAAAGUCAGCAUUGCAGAUGCUGCCUCAGGGCUUCCUGACUUUCAUGAGGGUCAGGAACAGUUGAGGCUACAGAGUAAGUAUCUGGAGGCAAAUAAUGCAUGAUGAACAUAAUAAGCAAGAGGACCAAAGUAAUGGUUUAAGUUAUAGGGAUAUUUGGUGAUAGACAGUUAAUGAGGGGGUUCCUAGAACCAGAAUAGCUGAGAAGCAUGGGAAACUCUGGUCUGAGCUGUCAGUCAAGUGACAGAGGCCUGAUGUGAUCCAGCAUGACUGUACCAACAGUCCCUCUUCUUGGCCUAGCUGAGUCAGUUGGAGGUCUACAGACUCUAACUAAAGGAGAGAGGUUGGGUCCUUUAAGGAAAGAGUAUUCAAUAAUCUCGUCAUGUAACUUAAAAUUGCCAUUCUGCCCUUUCCCAAUGGAUAUACAGCUACUUUGGAGGAGAAAUGGAAAUAACCAAAGCUCUCAGGAUUUGUUAGAUGUUGUACCUGAAUUGAUGCUAAUCCUCAAGGGAUACCUGGGCAUCCUGUCGGUUAAGUGGAAGGCUUCAUGAGUGUCAAACACAAAUGGAGUCUAUCUUAUGAUUACCUGUCUAGAACCUGAGUUUACACAUGGAAUACAUACUCACAAAUAGACAGAAUUUCCACAUUUGUGCCUGGACUCAUGUACAGUAGUCCUCCCUCAACUGUGGGGAUAUAUUUCAAAACUUCUAGUAUUGAACCCUAUCUGGCUUUUCCUAUAUUUAAAUAACCAUGAGAAAGUUUAAUUUAUAAAUUAGGCACAGUAAGAGAUUAAUAAUAAUGACUAAUAAAAGUUUAUGCUGUAAUAAAAA
rnacentral:lncRNA from 1 species